GAUCUCAUUUAUCUCGCGGCAGACGCGCGCGCGAAGAAAGAUAAAAACGACGGCGGCGUUGGUGAAGGCGGCGGCGGUGACGGUUACGGCGACGACGACGACGACGACAACKGUGAUGAUGAUGACUCCGCUGUGAGUGCGAGCUCAGUUCAACUACACCUACCCGUCGGCGCACACGUGUUCCGACCAUCGAACGUUCCGGGAUUCAAUAUUAUUUUUCAAGCAAUUUUUUUUCUCAAAAUAUUUUCUCCGCGCCAUCUUAUUCCCGCCAAUACCCACGAGACGCUCAUCACUGCGUAUAAUUUCACAUAAUAUUAAUAUUAUAAUAAUUCUAUACAACAUGUGCAGCAGUAUAGGAAAUAGCGUGUCGUUGUGCUCUAAAAUCGAUCGAACGGAGAGCCGCCGAAGCUGUCAACCUGGAUUAGACGGUUCCAACAGCCGACCUAGACCUAUAACGGCUGUCCAAAACUGAAGAGAUAACGCUUAUCAAAAUCAAAUCGACUUGCUCAUUCAAAACGCGAAUUUCCACUAUACCGGAAUUAAAAUGAAGACCUCGACCGACAUUACCAUCAACAGGCCGAAACCAUUGUUUCCAAAACCUAGUUGCUAAAUAACCAUGAUUUAUUAUAUUAAUAAAUCUAAUGUAUAUUAUUAAAUAUAAGUACUUUUCUUCCCUUGGUAGUUUGAAGUGGAAGUUUCAAGAACAACCCCUACUACGUUUCAGUUAGGCAAACAAACUAACUUUUUGUAUUUUUUUACUCGGUACCUGAAAUAAGUUUGCCUUUCGUACGGGGUUGAUUGAAAUCUUACUUACAUUGUUCUACUAUUACUUUCUUUCGUUACAUUUUGUCUGUAAUUUUUUUUAUAUUUAUUCAAAUCUACUUUUGAUAUAUUAUUAUCAUUUAUGUUCAACAAAAACAAUGUAAUAAUCACCAUCAUCUCUUAAACAUAUCAUAUUGUAAAUCAGCGUCAACCUGUAAGAUAUAUAUUUUAUGUAAACUAUGUUUAAAAAAAAUCACAUUCCAUGUUUAAUUCAGUUAUACAUAA